UACGUAGGUGGCGAGCGUUGUCCGGAUUUACUGGGCGUAAAGAGCGCGCAGGCGGUCGUACAAGUCGCGUGUGAAAGCCCCUGGCUCAACUGGGGAGGGUCACGCGAUACUGUUCGACUUGAAGGCAGGAGAGGGAAGUGGAAUUCCAUGUGUAGCGGUGAAAUUCGUAGAUAUUAGGAAGAACACCAGUGGCGAAGGCGGCUCACUGGCCCGGUACUGACGCUGAGGCGCGAAAGCGUGGGGAGCAAACAGG
rnacentral:rRNA from 1 species